CUGACUGUAUAUCCUAAGAAGAUACCAGAUUCCAUCUGAUCUUAGAAACUAAGCAGGGUCAGCCCUGGCUAGUAAUUGGAUGGUAGACUGCCAGUGAAUCCCGGGUGUUGUCAGC
rnacentral:rRNA from 1 species